UAGAGCAUCCUGAAGGAAAUGUCAGUGGGUAGGUUGUAUUUGCCCAUUGGCUCCCCAGGGGAACGGUGACGAUUUUUCUGUGCAAUUCCCGAAAGUCACCUCGAAAAUCAUGGGAUACCCCCAAGACGGGCCUUGCAAAGAAAAGUUCAGAUGCCACAUGAGGGUAGCCAGUGUGUCCAGCCAGUGUCCUACGCCAUGAAAACACACAAGGAGCCACUGAGGAAUAUGGGAGAAGUAGCACCGCGGCUCUUCUGUAGAACCCCGUGAAGGAAACAUGCUGGGUGUGGCAAGUGAGCGUUUCGCAAUUGGCACACGACACGGUUAUGAUUCUUCUGCUAAGAAAUAUCGCGGAGGGAAGGGCAGGCAAAGAAUAUGUGGCCUCCGUGUGGGAAGAGGUCUGCAAACUCUCUACAGGCCAUCUCUGAAUGUCCCCAGGCCGUAGAUGUACGCGAUGUAGGUUUGUCCGUGAACAUUUGACGGGAUAAAGGGAUAAACCUUGGAACUGAAUGGUUUGAGGACAGUGGGGCCAGUUUAAGGACAGCAGGUGGCUAAGCCGAUGAGGGUUGCCCGUGUUUCCUGUCCUCCGUGUGAAAUGCUGAAAUGGGUCUUGUCUGUGUCGUGUGCCAGGAGCACGUGGCCAUAUUAAUGUCCGCCCAGACAAAAGAAGGAGAAUGGAUGGCUUCUCCUCCCUUCUGCCUUCUGGAAUGCAAGAGCUGGAAAGAUUCUUUCAACAGUUGAGUGACUCCAGCCAGGAUGGGUUCUCGGGAAGCUGGGGAAGCAACAGAGGCUCACAGAAGAAGAUUCCAGACAUCUGACGUGGUGGGCAACUGUCUUCUGAUAGGAUGCAGUGACCUCGUCAAUGUUCUGGGGCAGCAUUAUCUCUACUUCUCCAAAAAAAAAAAAAAGAAGAAGAAGAAGAAAAUGAAUGUAAUGGUUUCUGCAGUCAAGAAUAAUAGAUUAAAAUUGAAAUUUUAUCAUUGAGAAUAGAUGUGGCAUGAGGACCAAGUGAUGGAUGGGACACAGUUUCCCACAAUGCCCUUCACUUUCCUUGUUGCUCUAUUAACUACAAGACUUUAGUUCCAUUUGGUUUGGUUUUCUGAUGAAUAGUUUUUUUUUGUUUUUUUUCUUUUGUUUUGUUUUGUUUUGUUUUUUUUGGUUUUGUUUUGUUUUGUUUUUUAUUGUAAGUAUAUCCUACGUAUUUCAUGGGUCAUACUUAGACUAAAUAAUUGUGCCUUGUUCAUCUGAAAUGAUCCUUUCACUGGAUAUUCUCAUAUUUUCUCUUUGCUGAAUCUGGGCAAAUCCCCACCCCCUGGCCAUUUGCAUGUUGAGAAGUAAAAGAUAAGUAGGUUGGUUUUAGAUAAAAAAAUCUGGCUCUUGAUCAUCAGCGGAUCAUCAGUAGUAUUAUUUCUUCUUGUUAUUAUGUUGGUUGCUUUGGGUGGGAGGACUUCUCCGUUUGCCUGAAAUCACAGCAUGGUAGGGACCGCUGAGGUCCCCAACCUACUUGUGGAGUCCUGUUCGUCAGCCCUCAGAUUCCUCCUCAAGGUCGGGAUGCUCGCAGACAAUGAUGAACCAUCAUACCCCGGGGACGUAGAGCAUUUUCUUUGAAACUCGAAAUGCAGAUGGAAUGUAUUUUCGAAAAUUCAUCUCCAUAUGUGAUACUCAAGUAUUAAUCCUACUCCUCUUUGAUCACAUCCGCCUCGUGCCUUCUGGGUGUUUCUGAAGGACGUUCCUCACAUUUGCAAACAAUUACGUGACCAGCAUUCGAAAAUAAAAGUGACAUCAGUUCAAAGGACUGGAACUUC
rnacentral:lncRNA from 12 species